rnacentral:rRNA from 1 species
UUGAACGCUGGCGGCAGGCCUAACACCUGCAAGUCGAGCGGAUGAAGGGAGCUUGCUCCUGGAUUCAGCGGCGGACGGGUGAGUAAUGCCUAGGAAUCUGCCUGGUAGUGGGGGAUAACGUCCGGAAACGGGCGCUAAUACCGCAUACGUCCUGAGGGAGAAAGUGGGGGAUCUUCGGACCUCACGCUAUCAGAUGAGCCUAGGUCGGAUUAGCUAGUUGGUGGGGUAAAGGCCUACCAAGGCGACGAUCCGUAACUGGUCUGAGAGGAUGAUCAGUCACACUGGAACUGAGACACGGUCCAGACUCCUACGUGAGGCAGCAGUGGGGAAUAUUGGACAAUGGGCGAAAGCCUGAUCCAGCCAUGCCGCGUGUGUGAAGAAGGUCUUCGGAUUGUAAAGCACUUUAAGUUGGGAGGAAGGGCAGUAAGUUAAUACCUUGCUGUUUUGACGUUACCAACAGAAUAAGCACCGGCUAACUUCGUG